CCUACGGGAGGCAGCAGUGGGGAAUAUUGCACAAUGGGGGAAACCCUGAUGCAGCGACGCCGCGUGAGUGAAGAAGUAUCUCGGUACGUAAAGCUCUAUCAGCAGGGAAGAUAAUGACGGUACCUGACCAAGAAGCCCCGGCUAACUACGUGCCAGCAGCCGCGGUAAUACGUAGGGGGCAAGCGUUAUCCGGAUUUACUGGGUGUAAAGGGAGCGUAGACGGUGCAGCAAGUCUGAUGUGAAAGGUCGGGGCCCAACCCCGGGACUGCAUUGGAAACUGUUGAACGGGAGUACAGGAGAGGUAAGCGGAAUUCCUGGUGUAGCGGUGAAAUGCGUAGAUAUUAGGAGGAACACCAGUGGCGAAGGCGGCUUACUGGACUGUAACUGACGUUGAGGAUCGAAAGCGUGGGGAGCAAACAGGAUUAGAUACCCUUGUAGUC
rnacentral:rRNA from 1 species